rnacentral:rRNA from 1 species
UAGGGAAUCUUCGGCAAUGGGGGGAACCCUGACCGAGCAACGCCGCGUGAGUGAAGAAGGUUUUCGGAUCGUAAAGCUCUGUUGUUAAGGAAGAACGAGUGUGAGAAUGGAAAGUUCAUGCUGUGACGGUACCGGAAAAGCAAGCCACGGCUAACUACGUGCCAGCAGCCGCGGUAAUACGUAGGUGGCAAGCGUUGUCCGGAAUUAUUGGGCGUAAAGCGCGCGCAGGCGGCUUCCUAAGUCCAUCUUAAAAGUGCGGGGCUUAACCCCGUGAUGGGAUGGAAACUGGGAAGCUGGAGUAUCGGAGAGGAAAGUGGAAUUCCUAGUGUAGCGGUGAAAUGCGUAGAGAUUAGGAAGAACACCGGUGGCGAAGGCGACUUUCUGGACGAAAACUGACGCUGAGGCGCGAAAGCGUGGGGAGCAAACAGG